GCAGGAGCUUGAAUUUCAGUUUUCCUAUGAGGAAUUUUCCAGAAAAGAUAUCUUCACUGUGAAAUAACUAAAUAAAUGCCCACUCAGUACAGUCACUGUCUCCCUUUUGGAAUUUGAUGGCACCUUAAGCCCAGGUUUGCCUCCACUCUAGAAACUCAUCAGAGUGAUGCCCUUCUCAAAUGGGGGAGGUCCCAAAGGGGAUAUCCUGGCAGUGUGAAAAGCCGGCUAAAGGUUUGUGCCAAGAGGAUCUGUGGAAUGCAUCUCCUACAGCUGGUGCUGCUGAGUAACCACUCUGAUCUGGCAUCUUCUUUGGUCAAGUUACAGAGCAGAGUUUCCAGGGCUGGGGAUUGAAGUCCUGCCUCCUCCCUUUGUCUCUGGUUGUCCUCAGUAAUGUUUUUCCCUCAAGGUACUCAUGAUACUUCCCAUGUGCUUUCCCUGAGCUCCAAACACAGAGCUGAGACUUCCACCUAAUGUAGAAAGCUAGCACGAGCCGGCGCUGACAGAUGGAAGACUUGAGAUGUUACAAGAUUAUAUAUGGAAACACAAAAGGAGAUACCGGAGCCAUGACAGACUGUGAUGGGGCUGGUGGACAGUUCAGCAAGACAUUGAUAUUGUCCAUUGGCGCUCAGUUCAUCUGUAAUGACACAUUCAAGGAUGAUGAU
rnacentral:antisense_RNA from 1 species